rnacentral:rRNA from 1 species
UACGAAGGGGGCUAGCGUUGCCCGGAAUCACUGGGCGUAAAGGGUGCGUAGGCGGGUCUUUAAGUCAGGGGUGAAAUCCUGGAGCUCAACUCCAGAACUGCCUUUGAUACUGAGGAUCUUGAGUUCGGGAGAGGUGAGUGGGAACUGCGAGUGUAGAGGUGAAAUUCGUAGAUAUUCGCAAGAACACCAGUGGCGAAGGCGGCUCACUGGCCCGAUACUGACGCUGAGGCACGAAAGCGUGGGGAGCAAACAGG